rnacentral:lncRNA from 1 species
CCAUCUAGGAGCCCUGCGGGAGGCAUGCAGGUAUUUCUCUGGAGGUCAUGCCUGGCAGGCGUCCACUGUUAGAGCCAGAGGACCCGGAGCAUUAUCUGAAUGAACUAAUGACCAACAGGCGGGCAGAAAUGAGUGCUGCGGAUUGAUAACAGGGACAGCCAGACCCCCUCCCAUCCCCACGAGGCAGAGGCACCAGGCCACCUGGCUUUCCCACACAUCAACCUCGUGCUCACACCCCACUCUGGAGACCACCAGCUUCGAGGCAAAAAGAGAGAACGACGUACAAUGGGCAUCUUCCCUCAUCCACCCCAUUUCAAAGAGGGUUCUGCUUGCAGGAACUCAAAGCUCAGAGCUUUUAGCUUCCCAAAGCCCUAUUUCCAAACUAAAGCAAAGGUCCUUUAGAAUUUGCACGGCGGGCUGUGCAAAAUGAGAGAGAAGGAAAUCGCUGGCAGAAAUAUCCCCGAAGAAGGGAUUUCUCCCCCAAAGACCAGAAAGCAAUUCUUCUAGGUUAGGGGAAUGAGGAGACAUACAGAGAAAACAAGAGGCUUGGGAGUUCCUCAUGAAAGGACUGGACCUGGAGUGGCCAUGCAGGAGAGGUGCAAGGGACUUGGAGCCCCUGAAGCUUCAGGAGAGCUGCGUGGCCCAUGUCCUGCUGCACCGGCAGCCAUCACGCCCAUGAGCCCUGCCUGUGUCCAGAAACAGUGCUGCUGUCCUUGACCUCGUCACUCUGCAAGGACUUCGCUUCCCCAGCAGGCAGUUCACCUCUGGAUACCCCUCCCUGAUGCAAACUUUGCUCAUGUCAUGUCUAUCAAGAUCAAGAAAAUGGAGCCCAUAACUGAGAUCAGCACAUGGGUAAGGAAACUGCUGAAUGGAAGGAGCUCCAAGACCUGGAACUGAGACCGAAGCUGGCAACAUGGCGGGAUGUUGCACCCCCCACACACACGCUCACACGUGGUUUUCAUUCCUUCUUUCAUAUUACGGCGGGCGUGGAAUUACCAGUCAAUUUGACAUUUAUAAAUACAUUAACUAGCGCUUCCAAUUCUUCUCCUGCUUCCAAGUUUGUUCUCACCACCUCACAGAAAAUGCUGGGGACAGAAUUAAAUGCAGAGUAAUCUAAACAAGCUUUGAUAUGUCAUAUGUCUUUCCUACUGAAUAAGCUAAACCAACCAGGGUAAUUUAGUGAUACUUGGGCAAGAAAACUAGGAAUUACGCACACUUUCCUUUUCCAAAUUCCCCACAUGGAAGUCUGUGAAUUCUACUGCAAUUACAGUGGUAUAAUAAAAAA